rnacentral:rRNA from 1 species
UACGGGGGGGGCAAGCGUUGUUCGGAAUUACUGGGCGUAAAGGGCUCGUAGGCGGCCAACUAAGUCAGAUGUGAAAUCCCCAGGCUUAACCUGGGAACUGCAUCUGAUACUGGAUGGCUUGAAUCCGGGAGAGGGAUGCAGAAUUCCAGGUGUAGCGGUGAAAUGCGUAGAUAUCUGGAGGAAUACCGGUGGCGAAGGCGGCACCCUGGACCGGCAUUGACGCUGAGGAGCGAAAGCUAGGGGAGCAAACGGG